UACGGGGGGGGGCAAGCGUUGUUCGGAAUUACUGGGCGUAAAGGGUGCGUAGGCGGCUUUCUAAGUUGGAUGUGAAAACUAUGGGCUCAACCCAUAGCCUGCAUCCAAAACUGGAGAGCUUGGGUUCUGGAGGGGAAAGGCGGAAGUUCCUGGUGUAGCGGUGGAAAUGACGUAGAUAUCAGGAGGAACACCGGUGGCGAAGGCGGCUUUCUGGACAGAUACCGACGCUGAGGCACGAAAGCUAGGGGAGCAAACAGG
rnacentral:rRNA from 1 species